rnacentral:RNase_P_RNA from 1 species
GCAGCAGGCCGUUCCAUCGUUCCCGGCCACAAGACCGGGGAAGGAAAGUCCGGACAACGCAGAGCGCCAUGCUUUCUAACGGAAAGAUAUCCGCAAGGGUAUGCAGGUGUAACAGAAAACAACCUCCCUGGCUUCAGGGCCAGGGGAAGGGUGAAAAGGUGAGGUAAGAGCUCACCGGUCGCGGCGGUAACGCCGGGAGCCGUACACUCCAUGGGUUGAAAGACCAUGUAUACCGGCGUCGAGGGUUGCUCGCCCAAUGCCGGGGGGUGGGUCGUAGGAUCCUGCAAGUGAUUGCGGGACAAGAUAAAUGAUGGAAACCGUCCGGAAUAUCUUUCGCAGAUGACCCGGGCGGAACAGAAUCCGGCUUACAGGUCUGCUGCAAUA